AUGAACACCGCCAGCUCCAGUUCCGCCACGCUGAGGUGCGCGGGCAAGCCUGCUAGCUUCGGCGCCGGCUUUGGCCGGAGGAGCGGCCACUGCAACUGCAGGGUGAAGGCGGCGGCGGCCGCGAGCGCGGGUGUCCGCUCGCCGAGCAGGGGCGACUACUACAAGGUGCUGUCCCUGGAGCACUCGGCGGACGUGGGCGCGGAGGAGGUCAAGCGCGCGUACCGGCGGCUGGCGCUGCAGUACCACCCAGACGUGUGCCCUCCGUCGCGCCGGGCCGAGUCCACGGAGCUCUUCGUCGAGCUCCAGCGCGCCUACGAGACGCUGUCCGACCCUGCCACGAGGGUGCAGUACGACGCUCAGCUGACCGGCCGGGCGUCGACGAGGCCAGAUGGGUUCGCCAGGGACGUAUGGGAAGCCCAGUUGUCCGUGCUGCGGGAGAGGUCCGAACGGCGGCAGAAUGGAAGGAGGUGCAGCGGCCGACGGUUCUAG
rnacentral:rRNA from 1 species